GUGGGGAAUAUUCCGCAAUGGACGAAAGUCUGACGGAGCAACGCCGCGUGAGUGAUGAAGGUUUUCGGACUGUAAAGCUCUGUUGUUUAGGACGAAAGUGCCUGUUGCGAACAGUUACAGGUAUUGACGGUACUAAACGAGGAAGCCACGGCUAACUACGUGCCAGCAGCCGCGGUAAUACGUAGGUGGCAAGCGUUGUCUGGAAUUAUUGGGCGUAAAGAGCAUGUAGGCGGAGAUUUAAGUCUGUUGUGAAAAUGCGGGGCUCAACCACGUAUUGCAAUGGGAACUGAAUUUCUUGAGUGCAGGAGAGGAAAGGGGAAUUCCCAGUGUAGCGGUGAAAUGCGUAGAUAUUGGGAGGAACACCAGUGGCGAAGGCGACGAUCUGGGCCUGAACUGACGCUGAGAAGCGAAAGCUAGGGGAGCAAACGGGAUUAGAAACCCGUGUAGUCC
rnacentral:rRNA from 1 species